rnacentral:lncRNA from 1 species
UUGAAUUCUUGACCUUGAGUUGGACUGCUUCAAACUUUACAACCAUGUUGUAGAACUGAUCAAACCCAGUGGGAUCCACCCGAAUGAGAGCAAGCUACAGAUCAUCUCGAAGCCACAUCUGAACUGGUAAAUCUUGCUCUUCUCAUCAGGAACGUCUUUCUUAGCAUAGCGGGCUAGGUUCUGGAACUCGAUGUUACACUGAUAGAUAGACGAGUUUCCUUGCUUGAGGUUUCUGAACUUCUCAUGCAUAUUCUUAACAAAACUAAUCGGAAUAUUAUGAGCUCUGAAGUCACG